CAGUUGUGAGGUCCCGGGAAAGGUCCCUGAUCUUUCCAAACCUCAGUGUCCAUGUCUAUAUAUCAGGGCCUGUAGCACUGACACCUCAGAGCCACGGGCAGGCAGAGUGCGUGAGUCACAGCAGCACCCUGCAUGGGCACGCCUGGAAAAUAAGGGCCCCAAGAGAGUGGUUGUCCAUGGUUGAUACUGGCCUUUUCCAUGUGAGACAGGAGGUUGAGUGCCACAGUGGUGAAUCAAGAUCUCAUUUUAAGCCCAAGAGGAGCCAUUUUCAAGGAUCUCGUGUGGAGAGUCCUUUGAGCAGAUGUUUUGCCACGUGGUGGUGCCCACUAGAUGAUGCCCUGGUUCUCUCUGGCCUCAGAAUCUGGACUCUGACAAACUCUCCUGUUCAGAUGUAUCCACACAACAAAAUCUUCAGGCUUUUUUUUUCUUUUUUUUUUUUUAAAUAUAACUUGGACUUCCAUUUUGAGAGAGUUUGAGCCUUACCCUGGAAUGAAAUUAUACACAGCCUAUUAUGUACUUAACACAAUCAUAAUUGGGUUUAAUUGUUCUGAAGCACCACAUCAGUGAUUAUGUGAGAACGGUGACUGAGGCAGCUGGGAGCAGAAUCCCCAUGCUGGUCUGGUUUGGUUUCUUGUUCACCUUUCCUGACUGAUGGCUGCUUACGUGGCCAACCCCACUGGCCCAGUUGCCAAAUAUAAACUUCUGAUUGAUCUGGUUGGACUUGGUGGGGUACAAAGAGAGAACAACUUUAAUUUCUUUCCCCCAACCAUUCCCUUCAGCUGGUUAUAUGGUCCCUUACCAUCCCUGGAUCAUGUCCUGUGUGGAUCCAACAGCUUUCCUGUCAGUAUCUGGUGUUGGAAGAGUCUCCUUUUCCUGUAUUACAAACUCUCCCCUGAUCAAAAUCAAUCUAAAUUUCUCACCAAAUUCGAAAUGUUUGUCUCCCGCUCAGCUCCGUUCAGCUCAGAGUAAGCCCUGUGAUGUCUUCCCCUCGCUGGAGGCUGCCAGUGGCCUCUGCUAGGCUGGGCAGGAAGGUGAGAUGAAGAAAAAGAGGACAUCAGUGCCCUCUGGGUGGCAUUAUGAUCGUUUUCAAGGGCAGUGUGAAGAUCGAACUAUUCUUUACAAGUCAGGUGGCACAUAGCAAGCUUUCAGUAAACGGGAACAACAUCUGAAUUUCUGAGGAGUCGUCUCACUUCCUCCAACUAGAUUGGAUGUCAGUUCGUCUUGCUAGUCCAGAGAUGGCUUCCUGCCACCAUCUGCCUGGCCUGCAGGGCUCUCUUUGAUGACACUUAGCCAAUCUUGAGCGCCAUUAUCUUAUUUACUCCUGACAACGGAUCCUACAGAAUAGGUGUUAUUAUCGCUCCCAUUUACAGGUAACAAAACCGAAGCUCACAGAGUUUGAGUCAUUUGCACAGGGUCAAAUAGUUUGUAAAUAGCAGAACUGGGAUUUAACCCAGGCUUGUGUGAUUCCAAAGCCUGCAUGAGUCCUACCACUCACGUUACUCCGUGACCUCCUUGUCCUUUGUCCUGUCUUUGUUCCCUCUGCCAAUGACUCUCUUCACUCUGGACAUAAUAGGGCAUCUCUUUGAGCUAAGUCACUUCCUGCUUGGAGUGCACCCUGGAAAUGAGUCCCCCAGUGCUCAGUAGAAUGACACUUCCUGUGUUGCAUCAUAAUAAGUCCCCACAGCAGCCACUUUGGUAAUACUGACUCCCUCCAUUUUCUUUCCACUAUUAUUUAAACUAUGUAAAGUUGCGUUUUCACGAAAAGCAUCCAGUUAGCAUCGCUCCAGCAUCAAUGUCGUGCCCAACACUGGAUUAGUCAUGAAGCAAAUGAAGCACUUCUGACCCGUCGUCUCAGUCACCAUUACAAGCUACAAAGACUCUUCAUGAUAAAUCACAGAGGUGAGGGGAAGAGGUGGUUACAAGAACAACAUCACCAGUAUCUUUCAAAUACAUUAAGAGCUGAAGCUUGUGUCACAUAAUGAGUCA